CCUACGGGUGGCUGCAGUGGGGAAUAUUGCACAAUGGGGGAAACCCUGAUGCAGCGACGCCGCGUGAAGGAAGAAGGUUUUCGGUUCGUAAACUUCUAUCAGCAGGGAAGAAGAAAGUGACAGUACCUGACUAAGAAGCCCCGGCUAACUACGUGCCAGCAGCCGCGGUAAUACGUAGGGGGCAAGCGUUAUCCGGAAUCACUGGGUGUAAAGGGUGCGUAGGCGGUAGGGCAAGUCAGAUGUGAAAGCCCGGGGCUCAACCCCGGGACUGCAUUUGAAACUGUAGGGCUUGAGUGCAGGAGAGGAGAGUGGAAUUCCCAGUGUAGCGGUGAAAUGCGUAGAUAUUGGGAGGAACACCAGUUGCGAAGGCGGCUCUCUGGACUGUAACUGACGCUGAGGCACGAAAGCGUGGGGAGCGAACAGGAUUAGAUACCCCAGUAGUC
rnacentral:rRNA from 1 species